GACGAACGCUGGCGGCGUGCUUAACACAUGCAAGUCGAACGGGACGGUCCUGCUUUUGUGGGGUGCUCGAGUUGCGAACGGGUGAGUAACACGUGAGUAACCUGCCCUUGACUUUGGGAUAACUUCAGGAAACUGGGGCUAAUACCGGAUAGGAGCUCCUGCUGCAUGGUGGGGGUGGGAUAGUUUCGGGGGUUGGGGAUGGACUCGCGGCUUAUCAGCUUGUUGGGGGGGUAGUGGCUUACCAAGGCUUUGACGGGUAGCAGGCCUGGGAGGGUGACCGGACGAACUGAGACGGAGAUGAGACACAGCCUCGUACGGGAGGCAACGGUGGAGAAGAUUGUACAAUGGGAGGAAGCCUAAUGCAGCAAAGCAGCGUGGGGGAUGAGAGCCUUCGGGUUGUAUACCGAUUCCGCCUGUGACGAAACGUGAGUGACAGUAAUGGGUAAAGAAGCACCGGCUAACUACGUG
rnacentral:rRNA from 1 species